UUGCAUCCCAUUGGAAAAGGCGUUGCAUUCCGUUGCAAAAGGCAUUGCAUUGCAAAAGGUGUUGUGUUUUAUUGCAUCCCAUUGCAAAAGGCAUUGCAUUGCAAAAGGUGUUGCAUCCCAUUGCAAAAGGCGUUCCAUUCCAUUGCAAAAGGCAUUGCAUUCUGUUGCAAAAGGGGUUCCAUUGCAUUGCAAAAGGCAUUGCAUCCCAUUACAAAAGGC
rnacentral:lncRNA from 1 species